AUUGAACGCUGGCGGCAGGCCUAACACAUGCAAGUCAAACGGCAGCACAGAAGAGCUUGCUCUUUGGGUGGCGAGUGGCGGACGGGUGAGUAAUGUCUGGGAAACUGCCCGAUGGAGGGGGAUAACUACUGGAAACGGUAGCUAAUACCGCAUAACGUCGCGAGACCAAAGUGGGGGACCUUCGGGCCUCACACCAUCGGAUGUACCCAGAUGGGAUUAGCUAGUAGGUGGGGUAAUGGCUCACCUAGGCGACGAUCCCUAGCUGGUCUGAGAGGAUGACCAGCCACACUGGAACUGAGACACGGUCCAGACUCCUACGGGAGGCAGCAGUGGGGAAUAUUGCACAAUGGGCGCAAGCCUGAUGCAGCCAUGCCGCGUGUAUGAAGAAGGCCUUCGGGUUGUAAAGUACUUUCAGCGGGGAGGAAGGCGGUGAGGUUAAUAACCUUGCCGAUUGACGUUACCCGCAGAAGAAGCACCGGCUAACUCCGUGCCAGCAGCCGCGGUAA
rnacentral:rRNA from 1 species